rnacentral:rRNA from 1 species
UACGAGGGGGGGCGAGCGUUGUUCGGAUUUACUGGGCGUAAAGCGCACGUAGGCGGAUCGUUAAGUCGGGGGUGAAAUCCUGGAGCUCAACUCCAGAACUGCCUUCGAUACUGGCGAUCUUGAGUCCGGAAGAGGUGAGUGGAACUCCUAGUGUAGAGGUGGAAUUCGUAGAUAUUGGAGAAGACACCAGUGGCGAAGGCGGCUCACUGGUCCGGUACUGACGCUGAGGUGCGAAAGCGUGGGGAGCAAACAGG